UGGGGAAUUUUGGACAAUGGGCGAAAGCCUGAUCCAGCAAUGCCGCGUGUGUGAAGAAGGCCUUCGGGUUGUAAAGCACUUUUGUCCGGAAAGAAAUGGCUCUGGUUAAUACCUGGGGUCGAUGACGGUACCGGAAGAAUAAGGACCGGCUAACUACGUGCCAGCAGCCGCGGUAAUACGUAUGGUCCAAGCGUUAAUCGGAAUUACUGGGCGUAAAGCGUGCGCAGGCGGUUGUGCAAGACCGAUGUGAAAUCCCCGAGCUUAACUUGGGAAUUGCAUUAAUGACUGCACGGCUAGAGUGUGUCAGAGGGGGGUAGAAUUCCACGUGUAGCAGUGAAAUGCGUAGAGAUGUGGAGGAAUACCGAUGGCGAAGGCAGCCCCCUGGGAUAACACUGACGCUCAUGCACGAAAGCGUGGGGGGCAAACAGG
rnacentral:rRNA from 1 species